CAGGCAGGACUAGACCUCUCCUGCAGUCCCUUUUAUGCCACCCAGGCAAGGAGAACUCCGCAAGUCCUUUGUGCUCCACUCCUGACUCAUGAUCCAGAGAUGCCGUGGCAAGCCCAGCUCUUGGUCCUGUGUUCCAGACUCCUGUCCAUCAGUGGCACAGUAAGGAUUUGAUUUUUAUUCUUUUUUGAGUACUGGCUUGAUUUCUGGUGCUGGCUUCUUUCAGUUUUAUGGUAUGAAAUUUGGAUGAACUCUUUCAGAAGCAAAGGGAAGCUUUCCUCUCUGAUCAAAGAAUGAAGAGAAACACCUAAUAUGAAAUACCUGAUUCCUUGCACCACAGGAUUAGCUUUGGGAGCCAGUCUGCAUCACUGCCUCCUGAAAUGAGACAUCAUUAUUUCCGGGAAUUGACCUGUUCUCAGAACUAAGAAACUUGUUCAGCGAAAAGGACUCUGCUAACACUCUCUGCGGCCAGCAGCUCAGCGGCUAACAUGUGAGACUUUGGGGAGUUUCAGAGGCAGGCACUGGUGGGGCCCAGGGCAGGCUGCUUCACAGACUUACUGUUCCUUUGUCCAAAAGGUAUAAAGGCUGCCUGCUUUGGCCACUUCUUAGGUCUCAUCUCUAUGAGACCUCCAUGCGCAUGAAUUAAAAAUGUU